rnacentral:rRNA from 1 species
CCUACGGGUGGCAGCAGUGGGGAAUAUUGGGCAAUGGGCGCAAGCCUGACCCAGCAACGCCGCGUGAAGGAAGAAGGCUUUCGGGUUGUAAACUUCUUUUAAGAGGGAAGAGCAAAAGACGGUACCUCUUGAAUAAGCCACGUCUAACUACGUGCCAGAAUCCGCGGUAAUACGUAGGUGGCAAGCGUUGUCCGGAUUUACUGGGUUGAAAGGGCGUGUAGCCGGGCUGACAAGUCAGAUGUGACAUGCCGGGGCUUAACCCCGGACCUGCAUUUGAAACUGUUGGUCUUGAGGAUUGGUGAGGCAGGCGGAAUUCCUAGUGUAGCGGUGAAAGGCGUAGAUAUUAGGAGGAACACCAGUGGCGAAGGCGGCCUGCUGGACGACAACUGACGGUGAGGCGCGAAAGCGUGGGGAGCAAACAGGAUUAGAUACCCUAGUAGUC